GACGAACGCUGGCGGCGUGCCUAAUACAUGCAAGUCGAACGCAGUGGGGACGGGUGCGUAACACGUGGGUAACCUCCCAUCAGAGGGGAUAACACUUGGAAACAGAUACUAAAUCGAUACUGAUGGAUGAACCCGCGGUGCAUUAGAUAGGUGGUGAGGUAACGGCUAACCAAGGCCACGAGGCAUAGCCGACCUGAGAGGGUGAUCGGCCACACUGGGACUGAGACACGGACCAGACUCCUACGGGAGGCAGCAGUAGGGAAUCUUCGGCAAUGGACGAAAGCCUGACCGAGCAACGCCGCGUGAGUGAAGAAGGUUUUCGGAUCGUAAAACUCUUUUGUUAGAGAAGCGGUAUCUAACCAGAAAGCCACGGCUAACUACGUGCCAGCAGCCGCGGUAAUUC
rnacentral:rRNA from 1 species